rnacentral:rRNA from 1 species
GUCCAGACUCCUACGGGAGGCAGCAGUGGGGAAUAUUGGACAAUGGGGGGAACCCUGAUCCAGCGACGCCGCGUGAGUGAAGAAGUAUCUCGGUAUGUAAAGCUCUAUCAGCAGGGAAGAAAGAAAUGACGGUACCUGACUAAGAAGCCCCGGCUAACUACGUGCCAGCAGCCGCGGUAAAACGUAGGGUGCAAGCGUUGUCCGGAAUUACUGGGUGUAAAGGGAGCGUAGACGGCGAUGCAAGCCAGAUGUGAAAGCCCGGGGCUCAACCCCGGGACUGCAUUUGGAACUGUAUAGCUAGAGUGUCGGAGAGGCAGGCGGAAUUCCUAGUGUAGCGGUGAAAUGCGUAGAUAUUAGGAGGAACACCAGUGGCGAAGGCGGCCUGCUGGACGAUGACUGACGUUGAGGCUCGAAAGCGUGGGGAGCAAACAGGAUUAGAUACCCCAGUACA